rnacentral:lncRNA from 1 species
UCUGCACAGCAAAGGACUACACAUGAGAAAGAAAAAAGCAGCAGAAACUAACGCAGUAUGUGAAAAUCUGCAUGAUACCAAUUCAUAGGAUAGUCAAAUGCAAAAAACAAUAGCAGGAUUAAGGUAGCUCAGGACAUGUAAAAAUUAAUAAGAAAAAUACAAAUACUAUUCAAGCUUAACUGAGGAGCUCAGGGCAGGGUCCGCGCUUGGAAUUUUCACAUUUACACCUAAUUAGGCCUGGCCACUGGUUCGAUCCAGGCUGAUUCAGAGCCUGGCCAGGAAAUAAACCAGAAUGGUAGGCCAUAGUUCCACCGUUGGCUUUGGAAAGCAUUUGAGCCACAUGGCGCCCUCUAAAGCCGCCACCUUUUUUCCUUCGAAAAAGAAAAAGAAUGACUUGACCAGAAGUUUGAACUGCCAGUUUCAGUUCAGAGGACCCCUUAAUGCCCUCCUGGAUGCUGCUUCAGGGCUGGUCCAGGCCAAUGAACAGUUGAUCUUGGCCUGUCCUGGCAAGGUUUACAGGUUGAACAGGUGCCUAGAUGGACCUACAGCUACUGUUUCUCCUCACAUGAAUUGGUUUUUACUUGGGCAUUAGAAAAUUUUGAGGAAGCAAUUUUUAGGUAGCCACGUAACCACAACUUGUACUUUAUGGUUGAGGAUCAGCUUUAACCAUUGGGACCAUAAAUGUAUCAAACGAAUAUACAAAGUACUUAUGUUCCGCAACCAUAUAUGCAUAGCCAUUUGGAGCGUAUAGCCAUAGGAUGAAGAAAUGCACAAAUACAUGCACAUAGGAUGAAGAAAUGCACAAAUACAUGCACAUUUGCAAGCAUAACUGAAAGGAAAUCCCUUUUAGUUGCUUUGCAGAGCAAGCGCAAGCAUAGUAUUUUCAAGUAUAUCAACUCCCAAUUCUAUACUGGAAAGGCUGAAAAAAUAGUAAGAGGAAUGUCAUGAGUAAAUGGCAGGAGAGGAAAUUUAUAACAGAACUCUCCCUAACCGCGUCUUUACUUUGACAGCUCCAUACUUCAGGUAAUUUCCAUAAUGCACAAGACUAAUGUCACGUCAAAAAGGGCAAAAAAAAAAAGUAAAAAUGUAAGUAAUUUACGACUUAUAGUUGCCAAGAU